UCCUACGGGACGCAGCAGUGGGGGAUAUUGCACAAUGGGGGAAACCCUGAUGCAGCGACGCCGCGUGGGUGAAGAAGCGCCUCGGCGCGUAAAGCCCUGUCAGCAGGGAAGAAAAUGACGGUACCUGAAGAAGAAGCCCCGGCUAACUACGUGCCAGCAGCCGCGGUAAUACGUAGGGGGCAAGCGUUAUCCGGAUUUACUGGGUGUAAAGGGAGCGCAGGCGGGAAGCCAAGUCAGCUGUGAAAACUACGGGCUUAACUUGUAGACUGCAGUUGAAACUGGUUUUCUUGAGUGAAGUAGAGAUU
rnacentral:rRNA from 1 species